GGAAGGGUGGCCGAGUGGUUUAAGGCGGCGGUCUCGAAAACCGCUGUGCGGGCAACCGUACCGUGGGUUCGAAUCCCACCCCUUCCGCCA
rnacentral:tRNA from 1 species